rnacentral:rRNA from 1 species
GAUGAACGCUGGCGGCGUGCUUAACACAUGCAAGUCGAACGGAAAGGCCCAAGCUUGCUUGGGUACUCGAGUGGCGAACGGGUGAGUAACACGUGGGUGAUCUGCCCUGCACUUCGGGAUAAGCCUGGGAAACUGGGUCUAAUACCGGAUAGGACGAUGGUUUGGAUGCCAUUGUGGAAAGUUUUUUCGGUGUGGGAUGAGCUCGCGGCCUAUCAGCUUGUUGGUGGGGUAAUGGCCUACCAAGGCGUCGACGGGUAGCCGGCCUGAGAGGGUGUACGGCCACAGUGGGACGGAGAUACGGCCCAGACUCCUACGGGAGGCAGCAGUGGGGAAUAUUGCACAAUGGGCGCAAGCCUGAUGCAGCGACGCCGCGUGGGGGAUGACGGCCUUCGGGUUGUAAACUCCUUUCGCUAGGGACGAAGCGUUUUUGUGACGGUACCUGGAGAAGAAGCACCGGCUAACUACGUG